GAUGAACGCUGGCGGCGUGCUUAACACAUGCAAGUCGAACGGAAAGGCUCCUGCUUGCAGGGGUACUCGAGUGGCGAACGGGUGAGUAACACGUGGGUGAUCUGCCCUGCACUUCGGGAUAAGCCUGGGAAACUGGGUCUAAUACCGGAUAGGACGAUGGUUUGGAUGCCAUUGUGGACAGUUUUUCGGUGUGGGAUGAGCUCGCGGCCUAUCAGCUUGUUGGUGGGGUAAUGGCCUACCAAGGCGUCGACGGGUAGCCGGCCUGAGAGGGUGUACGGCCACAUUGGGACUGAGAUACGGCCCAGACUCCUACGGGAGGCAGCAGUGGGGAAUAUUGCACAAUGGGCGCAAGCCUGAUGCAGCGACGCCGCGUGGGGGAUGACGGCCUUCGGGUUGUAAACUCCUUUCGCUAGGGACGAGGCGCAAGUGACGGUACCUGGAGAAGAAGCACCGGCUAACUACGUG
rnacentral:rRNA from 1 species